GCAAGAGGGGGAUGUCUGAGGCAGAAGAUUGCAGCUGAGGUGAAUGUGUAUCACAGAAUAAGAGUGAAGGUUUUAAAGAAAGAAUAGUCAUUACAUGACUCAAUGCAGGAAUCACUGGGUGAAAUUCUAUGACCUAUAGUAUGCCGGAGGUUAGUUUAAAUGAUCAUAAUGGUCCCUUCUGGCCUUAAAAAAAUCUAUGAAUCCAUAUAGGAACUUUGAAAUGACCAGAUUCAUCAGAAAUUGGAUUUCUGUUGCUUCUUUAUUUAUAUUUUAAUAUACUGUCAGACACAGCACCCUCCUGGACAAAGAGGGAGAUGGUAGCCAUGGUCGCUGAGAAUACAAUCAAUUUGCAAAUGGAAGGCCUUCGCACCAGAUGUUCUUAGUACCAACCACACAACAAUAUUGGGCUGAAACUUACUUCUGUGGAAAGUCAGAUACUAAGACAGACAAGUACAUUUCUCUCCCAGAGCCUUUCAGCAGUGUUCCAAGGACUAGUGGGGGGCAGAAACCGCCAUCCCUUACUGAAGAUUCCUUCCAUCGCCAGACAUCUCCACCCAAUGGAAUUGAUGCCGUCUUCCCAGAAGGUGAUAACAGAGCAGCUUCAGGAGGUGUGGUGGCAAAAGAAAGUUGCACAUUAAACCUGGGGCCUUGCAACUGCAGAGGGGAGGGCGGGGGAGGGGGUGAACUGAGGGGCUUCACAGUGGAGACUCAGAUUUCCUCAAAACAGCCAUGCCAGUUCCAGUUGAGCUAUGGAGAGACAAGCGGUGAAGACAGUGAAGUAACAGCCUGCAGGACCCCGAGGGAGGAGAAAGAGACACAGGCUGCUAAACUGACACCAGCCAAAAGUUGGCCGCAUUUUCUUUGAACCAUGAAGGAAUAGCACAGGCAAGUCAGACGUGACCAUGUUAAAGGAGCCAUGAGAAAAUAAAAACAAGUGACAGCUGACUCUUGAAGUGCUUGUGGGGGUGGGGCGAGAAAGAGAGGAGAGAGAGAGAGAGAUCAAAAUAUUGGGGGCAGGGCAGUCUGCAACCCAGGAGCCUUCUGCAGCAGCAGAUGGAGAGGGAAGUUACUGCUGAUUCCUGCGGAGUCCGGGAAGGAAAGAGACAACAUGUAAUAAUGAGGUGAUCUCAGAAAUAGACAACCAGGGGCAAGAACAAAAAGAGGACGCAGGAGAGAGAAACCCAGAACUGUGCACCAGGGGCUCUUCUCUCAGGCGUUGCUGCUGUGAGUAUUGCUUGCUGGCUAGAUGGAAGUUUCUGGCAGAAAGCCUGCCAAGGAGACUAGAAGAACGGGUCAGAGUAGACGAGAGAUAGGGGAGACCAUGACAUGGGGAAGUUUGGGGAGGAUGCAAGAGAAUACUGUUUCUUGAUGCCACAGAAUAAGGGAUUUCUCCUUCCUCAGCCCCAGUAAUUAGGGACAAAGCAGGAGGGCCAGGUACCAUGGAGAGCCUAAUUCCCCUCACCCUGGGUUUUGGAUUGGGAGUUUCCUGUAACUGACCAUGGGACACAGCAGCAGAGAUUGAAAUUGCGUUGUCUGCCUUUAUGGCAGCAGCGAUUGCACACUACGGUGCAAACGAUUCUUGUUACAACAGACAGUCUUGUUAUGAUUGACACCUCAGGGUUAGUUCAAGGUCACUGCUAGAACAUCUCCCUUCAUUUGAAUGACUGAGAGUCAGUCCAUGACCACAGGCCAGGGCUAAUUAAUUAAGAGCCCAAUUCCACCAUUUAGGUAGAGGCUAUAAUAAGGGAUGAUGCAGAGCCACUGCACCCCACGAGGAGCUUGGGUAGAAAUUCUCACUCAGGGAGAUUCUUCUCUGAGCUCUCCAGCACUCACACAGUGCACAUCCACUCAUACACCCCUUCAUGGAUUCAAGGCAGAUUAUUUUCCUUGUCCCUUUUUGCGCACAAUGGUAUCCCAGGUAACUAGGGCCUGCAGUUGUGCCUAGUUAUUAUGUGGGCCAUAAAAGGGGGCAGAGGAGAUGAUAGCAGGCUCCUUGAGACCCAUCAGGCCAUAAUUUAGGGAAUAAUAGAUGGCAAACAGACUUUUGAUUGGAAGAAUAUCAUUUUAAAACACUGUGGAAAAAAGGUUAGGCCACAAACCUCUGUAAUAACUAACUUCUUUUGCAAUAUAAAAUAACAUAUCUAACAACUGAAAAACUUCUUUAAAAUGGGGAACAUUGAUACAGAUCUAGGCUGGCUUUGUAAUUUAGUAGUUUGCACUUUUAAACAGGUGUGGUGGGACUGUACCAAGUCCAGAUUUUGGGGAACAAAUAUUCAGAGAAAGCAACCUGAUCCUAGAGCCCCUACACACAUUACAAUGUCUCCUGCUUUGCCUGGCUUGGAUAACAUCUCAUUGUCGUGUGUCAAUAGUAAAGAACCACAGCAAAAGUCACUUUCUUCUAACACGGAACAAGGAACUGUAUUAAAACAGUAUAAUCCCUAAAGCUACUCUCUCUCUCUCUCACUUUUUCACUAUAGAGAUAUUGCCUGGAAUCGUUUCAGGUUGCCAGAACAUGCAGGUCUACCAACCCGGCUAGACAGACUUGCGCUAGUUUGGUUCAGGCUAACAUGAGAAAAAUAUCAGUGUGAACGUUGCCGCACUAAUGGAGGCUCAGGUUAGUCACCCAACCUUGGAUGCACCUGAUCCCCCUGGGGCUGAGCUUAGGUAGUUAGCCUCAGCCUCCGGCAGUGCUGUAAUGUCUGUGCUGCUAUUUUUAGCAUGGGAGUUCGAGCUGAGCUAGAGCGCAUCUGACUACCUGGGCUGGGAGCCAUGCUCCCAGUGCAAUCUAGACAUACCCUUAGGUGACCAAAGUGCCCAACUAAAUAUUCUCUAUACCUUAUUGACCCACUGGGUUCAACUGAAGUGUAUUCUGUUUUGCCUAACUAUAUGACCUCCCCCUGCAAUAUUUUUUUCUAUUGUUAUGUGAUUGGAAACUCCUUGCGUACAAUUUUCACGUAUCCAAGUGACUUAGGAGCCUAAGUCCCACUAAAAGUUUUUAUGUUGUCAAUGUUCAUCACAUCAUUCAUGUAUCUGCACAAGCACCCAGCCUAUUUCUUUCACUCUCCCCUCGACAGUAAAAAUUAAAGAUUUGCAGGUGGCACACUUGAGAAAUGGGAAGUUGGCUCUUGAGGCAGAGAUGUUGGAGUGGGCCAUUUUCAAUAAAUCAAAAGGCAAGUCAGGGGUAGCCUGUGCGUGUCAUGUCUGAGAAGGCU